AACUCCUGGGCACAUCAGAGAAACAAACAGAAAAACAAAAGAUUGUUUAGCUAUGAGAAUGAGCUGUAGGAAUGAGAGAGAAGAGUGGGGCUCUUCUCAACUGUCUGUCCUAGCUCCCUUUUCAAAAUGCAAUGGAGAAGAUCCCUCCCGUCUGACACUUUCCUCCACUGCGUUUUGAUGAGGCAAGGAAUUGAGGAGAGACAAUGGAGAAAGAGCCUGGGAUUCCUGGUAAAGCACAGGAUUCAUGAGGACAGUGUGGAACAAGUAGUAGGUCAAAGAGAAAUCAGACGACUGACCUCGAUAUCUCCCUCCUGCAGUGGUCCACCAGUAUCUGGCAAGAUAAGACAGUACAACACCACUGGAAUUCAGUGUCAGGGAUAGAUAGUAUAGCCUAUUCAUAGACGCUAACAUCUAACAACCUACAUCACUAUACUGAGAGCAUGUCUGUUUCUAAAAGGACGUAUUUUGGUGUUUUUGGAGCUUGUUCAUGUCUUUUGCGUGCCCUGAUACCACACAAAGAGCAAUGAAGUGAAUAGCGGCUGAGGCUUCCAUGUCUUCUCCCUGGACCUCCUCAAUGUCCACCUCUUGAACAUCAGACUCUGAUGCCUCAUCUUCACUGUCACUUUCCAACCUUGUUGAGGAUGGCUCAUUGUCAGGCUCAUUGUCAGGCUCAAAAAGACUCAAAUUUGCCUGGAUGGCAACCAAUUUUUCAAACCUUGUAUUGGUCAGCCUGUUGCGUGCUUUGGUGUGUGUGUUCCCAAACAAGGACCAGUUGCACUCUGAGGCGGCUGAUGUUGGUGGGAUUUGGAGGAUGAUGGAGGCAAUGGGAAAGAGCCUCAGAUCCACAAAGUCCCCUCCACCAGGUAGCUGAUGAGAUAUGUUGGCACGACUGCCAUAUUGCAUCUCCAUCCCAAAGCUCUUGCUUGGAAGUGUACUUCGCCAGACUGUCAAGAACCGUGCCCUCAUCCAGGCCAAGGUGGCGAGACACGGUAGUGAUGACACCAUAGGCCUUGUUGAUCUCUGCACCAGACAGGAUGCUCUUGCCAGCAUACUUGGGGUCCAACAUGUAUGCUGCGGUGUGUAUGGGCUUCAAGCAGAAGUCUUCACACUUUUUGAUGUAUUUCAGAACUGCAGUUUGCUUGGAGCAACAGUGAAGUGGGCAGGGCAGUAUGGAUUUAUUCUCUUACAUCUGCAAGCAGAGUCUGAACAUCAGACAGGAUGGCAUUGUCUCCCUCAAUCCUUGCAAUUGCUACUGCUAUAGGUUUCAGGAGUUUCAGGCUGCUUACCACUCUCUCCAAAAAUACAUCAUCCAGGAGGAUCCUCUUGAUGGGGCUGUCCAUAUCGCCAGACUGUGAUUGGCCAUUUCUUGGAGAGACUCCUUCCCCUCCAGGAGACUGUCAAACAUGACAACACCACCCCAACGGGUGUUGCUGGGCUUCUUCAAUGUGGUGCUAUUUUCUUCUCACUUUGUUUGCAGCUAUAACUUGAUGACCCACAUACCUAAUCAUUUCCUUGGUUCUCUUGUAUCCAUUGUUUUCAGUGCCAUGAUGUCCUUGAGGAGCAGAUUCAAUGCAUGAGCAGCACAGCCAAUGGGUGUGAUGUGAGGGUAGGACUCCUCCACUUUAGACCAAGCGGCCUUCAUGUUCACAGCAUUGUCUGUCACCAGUGCAAAUACCUUCUGUGGUCCAAGGUCAUUGAUGACUGCCUUCAGCUCAUCUGCAAUGUAGAGACCGGUGGGUCUGUUGUCCCUCGUUUCUGUGCUCUUGUAGAAUACUGGUUGAGGGGUGGAGAUGAUGUAGUUAAUUAUUCCUUGCCCAUGAACAUUCGACCACCCAUCAGAGAUUAUUGCAAUACAGUCUACUUUCUCUAUGAUUUGCUUGACCUACACGAACUCUGUUGAACUCUGCAUCCAGCAAAUUAGUAGAUAAAGCAUGUCUGGUUGGAGGGGUGUAUGCUGGGAAAAGAACAUUCAGAAAUCUCUUCCAAUACACAUUGCCUGUGAGCAUCAGAGGUGAGCUAGUGGCAUACACAGCUCGAGCAAAACAUUCAUCAGCAUUUCUCUGAUUACGUUCCUCCAUUGAUUAAAAACAAACUUCUGAUUCCAGGAGGACCACGAGCUGUUGUUAUCGAUAAGGUGUCUGAUUCAUCAUUUUCACCUCAAAUAGAAGUAGAGGGACUUUUGUCAGAGGUUGCCUGUUGUGAGCGCUGAGGGAUCUUUAUGCAGAAGUUAGAGCAAAGCUGAAUCAAUGUCUUGCAAGAUCACAUAAUGAUUGCAUAAGAAAACUUAAUAUACAGUAAUACCAUAGCAUAGUAGGCCUAUAACGUUACUGUUACACCUAAAACA